rnacentral:sRNA from 1 species
UAAAAUCAAAAACUUACAGUAAUAAAAGUUACAGGUAUAGCCAACACAGGUACAUCAAAAAUUUUACAGCAAAAAUUCUAUAGUUACAACCCAACCAAUCAUCCACUUAACUUGUGGAAAAUUUGUAUAAAUUUAAAUAACAUCUGAGUAAUUAGUUUUUUAUUUGUUUGAUCAAAUAUUAUUACGGCACUAAAAUACCUCUAAACUUUUCUAGUCCGAAUAAAUUCUCAUCCACAUCC